rnacentral:rRNA from 1 species
UACGAAGGGUGCAAGCGUUAAUCGGAAUUACUGGGCGUAAAGGGUGCGUAGGCGGUUGUUUAAGUCUGUCGUGAAAGCCCCCGGCUCAACCGGGGAAGUGGCACCGAAACGACCUGUCUGGAGGGACGUAGGGGGACCUGGAACUUCCGGUGGAGCGGUGAAAUGCGUUGAGAUCGGAAGGAACGCCCGUGGCGAAAGCGAGGUCCUGGACGUUUUCUGACGCUGAGAUGCGAAAGCUAGGGGAGCAAACGGG